rnacentral:rRNA from 1 species
AACGAACGCUGGCGGCAGGCCUAACACAUGCAAGUCGAGCGAGGACUUCGGUCCUAGCGGCGGACGGGUGAGUAACGCGUGGGAACGUGCCCUUUGCUUCGGAAUAGCCCUGGGAAACUGGGAGUAAUACCGGAUGAGCCCUUUGGGGGAAAGAUUUAUCGGCGAAGGAUCGGCCCGCGUUGGAUUAGGUAGUUGGUGGGGUAAUGGCCUACCAAGCCGACGAUCCAUAGCUGGUUUGAGAGGAUGAUCAGCCACACUGGGACUGAGACACGGCCCAGACUCCUACGGGAGGCAGCAGUGGGGAAUCUUAGACAAUGGGGGAAACCAUGAUCGAGCCAUGCCGCGUGAGCGAUGAAGGCCCUAGGGUUGUAAAGCUCUUUCAGCUGGGAAGAUAAUGACGGUACCAGCAGAAGAAGCCCCGGCUAACUCCGUG